rnacentral:rRNA from 1 species
UACAGAGGGUGCGAGCGUUAAUCGGAAUUACUGGGCGUAAAGCGCACGUAUGUGGCGACGUAAGUCGGGUGUGAAAGCCCCGGGCUCAACCUGGGAAUUGCAUUCGAGACUGCAUUGCUGGAGUACGGAAGAGGAGGGCGGAAUUCCCGGUGUAGCGGUGAAAUGCGUAGAUAUCGGGAGGAACAUCAGUGGCGAAGGCGGCCCUCUGGUCCAGUACUGACACUCAAGUGCGAAAGCGUGGGGAGCAAACAGG